CCCAGUCCGAAUGUGUCAUUAAAAAUAUAUAAUUGUACAGCACCAGUUGGUUGAGUUAAGUACCGUUGUUACAUCUAUCUCCAGUUCUCCACACCACCUCACACAGGUCACAGCUGUAUCAUCUUCUUCUUCCUCUCUCUCUCUCUACCAACCCAAAGUCACAAAUUAGCUUCUUUCCCCGCCCCUACAUGCUACAUGUCAGAUUUGGUCAAGCUACCAUUCACUGAGAUUUUAUCUCAUCUAUACAAAUCAAAAAUUUAAAUUAGACACAAAAGGAUGCAUCUGAAGAACUUCUUUCCCUCUCUGUUAUUUUCUGUUUCUUUCUUCUUUUGAAAAUUAACCGUUUUAUGGACAUCAACUAAUGCAGUCUAUGUAUGUAUACCAACCGUGAAAAAGUAAAAAGAGAAGAGACAAAAAAAAACCCCGUGAUAUUUUACAUCGUUGAGUGAGACCUGCCAUGGGUGACGGGUCGGCUCGAGCCGAGGCCGAGACCGAAGCCGAAGCCGAAGCCGAGCUCGCGUGUGUGGAACGGGCUCGGGUCGUCGGACUCGGAGCGCGAACGCGAACGCGACAGGUCGGAGCCGCCGUGCCGGGAGCUGUUGUGUCCGGCGGCGGCCACGACGGACUCCUCGCACAGGGUGACGGCCCACUCCAGCUCCGCCACCACCUCAGACAUGAUCGGCCUCGCGCGCCCCCGUGGUCGGACGCACUCCGAGGCGAUCUUGGCGACGCGCGCCACCGCCUCCACCUCGUGCCCGCGCGGCGGCGGCACGCGCUCGUCCAGGAUCUUUGUGACGCUGCCCGCCUCGACCGCCGGCACGGCGAACUCGACCACGUUCCGGGGGGACCCGCUGCCGUCCUGGUUCGUCCGAUGGAUGGCCUUGCGGCCGGUGACCAGCUCCAGCAGCACCACGCCGAAGCUGUACACGUCGCUGCGCUCCGUCAGUUCCUGCAGCCGGUAGUACUCCGGGUCGAUGUACCCCACCGUGCCGGCCGUGGCGGACGCCGGCGACGCGGCGGCGCCCGUGCCGCCGCUGGCCAGGGACAGCCCGAAGUCGGACACCUUGGCCGUCCAGUCGCCGUCGAGCAGGAUGUUGGAGGGCUUCACGUCGCGGUGUAUGAUGGCUGGCACGGCGUAGCAAUGCAGGUACUCCACGCCGCGCGCCGCGUCCAGCGCCACCCGGAGCCGCGUCUCCCACGACGCGAACAGCGGCGAGUACCCGCCGACGUCGUUGCGCCGCCCGCUGCCGUGGAGGUGGUCGUGGAGCGCGCCGUGGGGCAUGAACUCGAACACCAGGAUGCGCUCGCCGCGCUCCUCGCAGAAACCCAGCAGCUGCACCAGGUUGCGGUGGUUCACCCGCGACAGCAGCCGCAGCUCCGCACGGAACGCGCGCUCCGCGUCGAAGCGGCGGCGCCGCCGCCCACCGCUGCCGCUGCGCUCCGCGCGCUUGAUCGCCACCUCGCGCCCGUCGGGGAGCCUGGCGCGGUACACCGACCCGAAGCUGCCGCUCCCGAUCUUCUUCUCCUCCGAGAAGCCGUCGGUGACGCGCGACAGGUCACGAAGCGUGAACUCCUCGCAUCCGAGCGGCGGGACCGGCGGCGCCGGCAUGGCCGUGGCCUCCACAUCGCGGCACAGCCGCCGGGACGACGACUCCCCGAGACGCAGCGUCAGCGUCUUCUUGUUGUCCCGCUUCCUGUACGACACGAGGUACAGCGCCACCGCAGCCGCCGCGAGCACCGCGGCGCCGGCGCCGCCCACGCUGAGCGCGACGGCCAGGGUCCUGGCCUUCCUCUUCCCGCUGUCGUCGUCUCCGGCUGCCGAUCGCUCCCUACCGUUGGUGAUGAGGAGCCUAGAAGCGUUCAGCCGCACCGCGCAGGCUUGGCAGACGGCGAGCUCCUCGCCGCCCUCGGAGCCGCCGCUGCCACAGAGCGCGCCGGAGCCGGAGAUGAUGUCGCAGGGGCAGCUCUUCUUGUGCGUGCAGGCGCCGGGCAUGGUGCUGUUGUAGACCAGGCUACCGCCGGUGCCGAAUCUGUCGGUCCUCCCCCAGCACGCGACGGAGUAGUUGCUCCUGAGGAUGCCGCACACCGCGCCCCCGUCGGCCUCGAUGGCCAGGAAGUCCGCGUUCCGGUACUGGUCCGGCACCUGGACGGCGCCCCAGCACUGGACCCUGCCGAUGCCGGAGAGGAUGCAGGUGGAGCCGUUGCCGAGUGCCAUGGCCAGCAUGUCGGCCGGCAGCUCGUGUGCCGGCACGUUGGGGACGUCGCCGUCGUCGUCGCCCCAGCAGCCGAAUCCACCCUCUGCGUCGACGGCGCAGGCGUGGCGGUGGCCGGCGGCGAUGGUCGCGAAGGCCGCGGGGGCGGGAGCCAGCGACGGCGCGGUCAUGGCGCCGAAGCAGCUCAUGCUGGUGUUAUCGAGCUUGUCGAUGCCGCAGAGGAAGUCGUGGCCCAGCGCGAUGCGGGAGAAGUCGAGGCCUUUCGGGAGGGCGAGGCGCGGCCACUCCCAGCAGCUGGGGCCGUGGUCGUCGGAGAGGCCGCAGGCGUGGGAGCCGCCGGCGCUGAGCGAGCGAAGCGAGGGGCCCCAGUAGAGGCGGCGGCCGACGGGGCGGGAGCGGUUGGCCGCGAACUCCUCGGAGAAGGACCACCAGCGCAUGGCGGCGUGGCCGCCGAGCGGCGCCAUGAGGCCGCACAGGAAGUCGGUCCCGGCGGCGAUGGCGUUGUAGGGGAUGUCAGCGGAGGGGUAGACGAACUGCUGGCCGUCGGGGAGCGAGGUGCAGCGCAGCUUGGAAGAGCCUGGUGGCCCCGCUCCCGCGUCAUCGGCGCUGGUGACGAGCGCGCAGACGAGCGUGGCGUUGGGCGCGUGGGAGAUGGCGACCGUGGAGAACUGCCGCGACGCCGCGCACGCGUCGACGAUCAGGAGGAGGACGGCGGCGACGAAAGCAAGACUCGUGCUCGUGCUCGUCAGGAGGAAAAGACGGCGGUGGCCGGCGUGGGCAUGGCUAGACAUUGGCAUCCGGAGGGAGGAGACGACAUGAGCGCGCGAGGUUGCCGUUGCUUGCCCCGGCCCUGCCGCGCUGGACUGCUACGGUACGCGAGGGGAGGAGAGAUCGGGAAUCGACAAUCGAGUGGGUGCCUUGGCUUCGCUUGGAUUUUCGCUUUUUGUUUGUUUCUAGUAGGUGAGCGCGCGCCCAUGGAGGGAAAGAAACGCGUUUGCGUGGAGUUUUCUUUUAAAAAAAACAAAUAUAUUUCUC
rnacentral:misc_RNA from 1 species